rnacentral:rRNA from 1 species
CAUUGAGCGUCUGACGCAGCACGCCGCGUGAGUGAUGAAGGCUUUCGGAUCGUAAAACUCUGUUGUUAGGGAAGAACAAGUGCCAUUUUAAUUGGUCGGCCCCUGGCCGGUACCUAACCAAAAAGCCCCGGUUAAUUACUGGCCACCACCCCCGUUAUACCUUAGGUGGCAAGGUUUUUCCGGAUUUAUGGGGCGUAAAGGCGCCCAAGGGGGUUUCUUAAUUCGAAGUGGAAACCCCCGGCUCCACCGGGGGAGGGUCUUUGAAACUGGGGAACUUGGAUGGCAAAAAAGAAAAGGGAAUUUCCAGUGGUACGGUGAAAUGGCUAAAAAUUUGGAAGAACCCCCAUGGGCAAAGGCGACUUUUGGGCCUGUACCGAACCUUAAGGGCCAAAACCUGGGGAAGCAAACAGAAUAAAAACCCCGGGUAUCCCACCCCUAAAACAAUAAUGGCUAAUGGUUAGGGGGUUUCCCCCCUUUAUUGUUGAACUUAACGCAUUAACACCUCCCCCGGGGGAGA